rnacentral:tRNA from 1 species
UGGGGUAUAGCUCAGUGGUAGAGAGGUAGCCUAUGUACAAAUCCCUGGGUUCAAUUCCCAGCACCCCCA